ACAAGUUUCUACUGCAUAGCACAAGUAACUAUAUUCAAUAUCUUGUAAUAACUUAUAAUGAAAAAGAAUCUGAAAAAGAAUAUAUACACACAUAUGUGUGUAUAUUAUAACUGAAUCAUUCUGCUAUACACUUGAAGCUAACACAAAACUGUAAAUCAACUAUACUUCAGUUAAAACUUUUUAAAAAAAGAACAAAGAUCUG